UAGACACGGUGAAGGGGUAUAAGGCAAAAAUGAAGAGAACAGCUGGGAAGGUGUAUCAUGUGCUUGGAAGAUGAUUGGAGGAGCAUCCUUUCAAGAGGCUUGCUGAGAGUAUAGAAGCUGAACAAGACUUCACCCAUGUCAGACCGUCUGUAAUAGGAGAUGGACGGUUUCCUGGUCAUAACACCGACACAAUCAUUAAGGGCACAUGCUUGGUCUCCAUAUCCAAAGCAACAAUGGCUACCUUCUCUUUUGAACUCUACUUCUAUUAGCAGCAGCAAAAGUAAUAGCUUAAUGCGUGCAACAAAGUCUUCAGAUUAGUUCAGGCACCGUCUACUCCAGCAUUGAAAGUGGGAAAAAAUGUGUGCCACAAACUUCCCAAUUAGCUCAGGUAGGGUCCAAAUGUUUGGACUUUGAGACCAUGAGAAACCAAUCUGCUCAUUCUCAUUGAUUUGUUUAGCAGGUGGCCUCCUUGCUUCAACUGAAUUUUGAGUUUCUUAAUUCAUAUUUUAUCCUGAAAGUAAUUUAAAUCAUUGAGGUUGUAGCUUGUUUUAUUUUCAGCAAAUAGGAUGAAGCUUUCUCCUCAAACUACAACCUCUUCUCUCUAUCUUCCACAGUUUCCUCUACAAAAAGAUGCCUCUAGAGUCGUCCAGCAUCCAGCAACAGUUGGCUUUGGCUUAUGAUGUAUGUGGCAGAAGAUGUGGCGUUUUGUUUUUAGUCUCCUUAAUUCUGAACCAUUCAGUCCAAACGGGCAUCCACCUUACACUUAGGUAAGGUAAAGCUUCUCAAUAUUAUCUAUGUGAUGUGUGGUGUGUGGUGUGUGGUAUGUGGUAAAGAGCAAGCCAAACUUAAUAGCUAAAUCACCCAUUUCUGUGGGGUACGUUAGAUACACUCCACGUGAUUUUCAAUGAACAAAUAUGCAUCAUAACAACUGGCCAAAGAAAGAUUUUUCAUACUCAGAACUAUCAUAUAUAAGACUUCGAAGGAGCUUUCACAUUUUACAUCAUCCACAGCUGUCUAUAGUUUCUAUGUUAGGAUGGCACAUGUGUGGAACAUGAAUUCGACGUGUCGGUGUUCUAGUGUGUGUAGUUUUGAGCCAUUUUGGAGAAGUGAUUCUUUCCCCUGAUGCAUUCAACAAUGUACUGAGGGUGGUGACUUGCCCCUUUUCUAAAUGUAAUCAUGUUUUAUAUAUUUUUUUUAGAUCUAAGAAGCACUCACAGAAAGUGUGACCUGGGUAUGUAUAAAUAUCCCUGUUCUGAACAGAGAAAACUGUGAUCAUAUUGACUAUAGAAAUAGAGUAAAUUUUUUUAUUUUGUCUUUCUUUAUUUCUAAUUGUGUGUAUAAUUAGGUUAACGAAAGGACUGCACUGUUGUAGGAUUCCAUAUUAUCCAAAGCAACCAUGACGAUAUUAUCUUUUGAACUCUACUUCCAUUAGCAGCAGCAAAAGUAAUAGUGUUAAAAAUAAAUGCAAAUCAUUGUUGUAUGGUCUAAUGUAUGGGUAACAAAGACAACCGCUUUAUAAAAUCAUUGUGAAGCGCACUAUUUACAUCUUGUGAUAUCUUGUGGCUGAAGGGAGAAUCCCAUGACUAGUUAGUACCAGAGCAAAUGUGUCAGUGGAAAGAAUCAACUUUCUCAGGUACCAUAAAUAGGAAAAGGCUUCGAAAAUGGUUCAAAACUACAUUCGCUAGAACACUCACAAGUAGGAAUUCACGCUCUACACAUGUGCCAUCCUAAUUUAGUGUAGACAGCUCUAGAUGAUAAUAAAUAAUAUGAAGCUCCUUUCAAGUCCUAUAUAACACGAUUUGUUCAUUGAAAAUCAA